AACACAGUAUAUUAUUCAUUUCUUCCUCCAUAGCUUUUUGAAACCAUGAAUUACAAAGCAUUCACUUUGAUAUUGUUUGUAUUAAUCUUUUGUCAAUCAUCGAUAAUGGCUUCUCGAAGAAUAUUAUCAGGUCCGGGAAGUAGUAAAAUGCCAGCACUACCUCAUCGUCCUCCAUCAGCUGGAUCAGCAACUCCUCAAUCAAAGCCCGUUGCAGGGCGUAUACGGGCACGGGUGUGCGAGGAGUAUAACAAUUGUAGGCGCCCCAUUACACCAAGUAAAUCCUAAAUCGAAAUUAUAAUCGUAGUAAAUGGUAGUUAAAAUUUAAAAUUUAUAAAUUAUGAAUGUAUUGCUGAAAUUUAUAACUCGUUCAAUUACUUAUUAGAUUUAAGAUAAGCCAGAGUUAAUAGAGUUUAAGAUUAUAUGUUUUUAAGAUUAUUCCGUGAAAGUUUAUGUAAUAAUAUUGAAUGAUAUAUAUUGAUAUCAAAGGCCAUUUAAAGUCUUCUUUCUCCAUCUCUUUUUGCUAUCUUUUUUUUUUCUUCACUACUUAAAGUUCCCAAAUUAUGAGGAAUAAAGAAUGUAAAUUUCCU